rnacentral:rRNA from 1 species
GGCGGCCUUAGCGCGGUGGUCCCACCUGACCCCAUGCCGAACUCAGAAGUGAAACGCCGUAGCGCCGAUGGUAGUGUGGGGUCUCCCCAUGCGAGAGUAGGG